rnacentral:rRNA from 1 species
CCCUUAGAUGUUCUGGGCCGCACGCGCGCUACACUGACGAAUGCAACGAGCUUAUAACCUUGGCCGAAAGGUCUGGGUAAUCUCCAAAUUUCGUCGUGAUGGGGAUAGAUUAUUGCAAUUAUUAAUCUUCAACGAGGAAUGCCUAGUAAGCGCAAGUCAUCAGCUUGCGUUGAUUACGUCCCUGCCCUUUGUACACACCACCCGUCGCUCCUACCGAUUGAAUGGUCCGGUGAAGCGUUCGGACCGUGGCCUUUGGACGGUUCGCCGUCUGUUGGCUGCGGGAAGUUCGUUAAACCUUAUCAUUUAGAGGAAGGAGAANUCGUANCA